ensembl:lncRNA
AACUAUUAUAGAACCUAAGAUGACCUUGUGAGAUGUCUUUUCAGACUUUUGCAUUUCUGAGGACUGGCCUUCUGGCUGGCCGACAGGUGCCUGACAUGGGCCACAUCGGGCAAGGGAUAGUCACGCCGAUCCAUGUAACUUGGGAGUGCAUAGUCUUCGCUCUUCACAACACUUCCGUGUGCUCGUACACACACCGAGGUGGAAAUUGCUCGCUUGCCAACUAGGCUAAAUACCCUGGUAGCCAACAUUCUGCCAUCGCUGCCCGCCGCGACUGCCCUCUAGCCCGGUGUCCCGCGACAGGAAGAGAGCAAAGCCACGCCGCGGAGCACCACGGGAUCGAGGAAGACUCCCUAUCACAGGUUUUUUUUUUAAUAUAUAAACUUGAUCUUAAGGAGAAGAAAUAGUGAACUUCUCUACUUUUUAAAGUUAUUAAUAUAUAUGAUGAAUAAGAAAAUACUGACGGAAAUGAAAAAAACUUCAUAUCCUGUACUUCCUGACAUCCUCUUUUGAUUUUGUAAAGUUUCCUGUCAUUAUUUUCCAGUGUAUUUAUUUUUAAGGAAGUGUCUUUAGAAAGAAGAAAGAGACAAGCACUGCUUUCCUCCUCCACUUCUCUCUCUCUCUCUUACACACACACACACACACACACACACCCCUCAGAGAUUUAGCACUUUGCAGCAUUAUUAUUCUACAAUUCAGCAACCAGGACCCAUUUCUAGGUGCACAAAGAUAUGGGAAGCAGUGGAGUGAAGCUUCAGCACUAAAGGAAAAGCAACAGGUACCAUGUCCUAGAUCUCUGCAUUUAUUCACAGUGAAGGUGUGAUGAGAUAAACAUGCCACAAUUAUCAUUAGUUAUUGUUGUUAAGCUACCAUUUAUUGAGCUAUUGCCAGGUAGUAUGUACUAAAUGCUAAGUGUGCUGUGCUAAGUAUUUUACACACACACGCACACACACACACACACACACACACACACACAUUGCAGGUUUGUAAUAUGCCCACAAUUUUUUAAAAAUCAGUUUUGUUUCUUUCUUUUUUUCCUUGUUUGAGACAGAGUCUCCCUCCGUGGCCCAGGCUGGAGUGCAGUGGCAUUAUCUCGGCUCAGUGCAACCUCCGCCUCCUGGGUUCAAGCGAUUCUCCUGCCUCAGUCUUCCAAGGAGGAGCUGGCACUACAAGCGCCUGCCACCAUGCCCGGCUAAUUUUUUUGUAUUUUUAGUGGAGACGGGGUUUCACCAUAUUGACCAGGCUAGUCUCAAAGUCCUGACCUUGUGAUCUGCCCACCUUGGCCUCCCAAAGUGCUGGGAUUACAGGCGUGAGCCACUGGGCCCCAUCUCUUUUUCUUUCUUUUCUUUCUUCUUUUUUUUUUUUUUAAGAGACAGGAUCUUGCUCUGUUGCCCAGGCUGGAGUCAGUGGCACAACCAUAACUGACUGCAGCCUCCACUUCCUGGGCUCAAGAAAUCCUCCUGCCUUAGCCUCCUGAGUAGCUGGGACUACAAGCAUGCACCACUGCACCUGGCUCCAUGAUUCUUAAUAUUAGAGUUUCUGCUGUGGGUUAAGCCUGUGUUUCUGGUGUUCAUGACCCAUCAGUAAAUUAUGAAAUUAAUUUAAUGAGUAGAGAUAAAUUUAAUUCCAUAAUAUCUUUGUGAAGUGAAUUAUAUUAUCCUCAC